rnacentral:lncRNA from 1 species
CCUGGACAUUUUUUUAAAAGACUUUAUUUAUUUAUUAUGUAUACAACAUUCUGCUUCCAUUCUUCCACCAGAAGAGGGCACCGGACCUCGUGACAGAUGGUUAUGAGCCACCAUGUGGUUGCUGGGAAUUGAACUCAGGACCUCUGGAAGAACAGUCGGUGCUCUUAACCGCUGAGCCAUCAUCUCUCCAACCCAUUCCCUGGACAUUUUAACAAACACGUGCAUUUACACAUAGGAACACUCACAUAAAACUCCCUUGCUCAUUCAUAGACAAGACCGAGUGCCCCCAUGCCUCUUGGAUUCAGUGUCACCAAGGAAAUUGCUGAUCUGCCAAAGAACUCUCCGGCGUUUUGUCUAUCUGUAUACCAUGUGCAUGCCUGUUGCCUGCAGAGCUCACCGGGGACAUUUCAGAACCAAAAAGUAACACCAAGGCCUGCCAACAGUCGCCAGAACUAG